GGCGGGACACGUGGUAUCCUGUCUGAAUAUGGGGGGACCAUCCUCCAAGGCUAAAUACUCCUGACUGACCGAUAGUGAACCAGUACCGUGAGGGAAAGGCGAAAAGAACCCCGGCGAGGGGAGUGAAAAAGAACCUGAAACCGUGUACGUACAAGCAGUGGGAGCCCCACCACUAAGCCAGUGGUGAACUCCACAUACGCAUCCUUUGCUGAAGGCAAUGGUUAACGGAGCGAAAGCGACGUUCAACCGCAAAACAAGCAGAGGGGGCUUAGUGGUGGGGUGACUGCGUACCUUUUGUAUAAUGGGUCAGCGACUUAUAUUCUGUAGCAAGGUUAACCGUAUAGGGGAGCCGGAGGGAAACCGAGUCUUAAUUGGGCGUUAAGUUGCAGGGUAUAGACCCGAAACCCGGUGAUCUAGCCAUGGGCAGGUUGAAGGUUGGGUAACACUAACUGGAGGACCGAACCGACUAAUGUUGAAAAAUUAGCGGAUGACCUGUGGCUGGGGGUGAAAGGCCAAUCAAACCGGGAGAUAGCUGGUUCUCCCCGAAAGCUAUUUAGGUAGCGCCUCGUGAAUUCAUCUCCGGGGGUAGAGCACUGUUUCGGCUAGGGGGCCAUCCCGGCUUACCAACCCGAUGCAAACUGCGAAUACCGGAGAAUGUUAUCACGGGAGACACACGGCGGGUGCUAACGUCCGUCGUGAAGAGGGAAACAACCCAGACCGCCAGCUAAGGUCCCAAAGUCAUGGUUAAGUGGGAAACGAUGUGGGAAGGCCCAGACAGCCAGGAUGUUGGCUUAGAAGCAGCCAUCAUUUAAAGAAAGCGUAAUAGCUCACUGGUCGAGUCGGCCUGCGCGGAAGAUGUAACGGGGCUAAACCAUGCACCGAAGCUGCGGCAGCGAACGUAUCACUUAAAGCGAUUCAGCGGGUUACGAUUGACGGAGCGAAGCGACGUCAAAGCGUAUACAAAGUCGAGUCGGUUUAAGGAUACGUUCGUUGGGUAGGGGAGCGUUCUGUAAGCCUGCGAAGGUGGCCUGUGAGGGUUGCUGGAGGUAUCAGAAGUGCGAAUGCUGACAUAAGUAACGAUAAAGCGGGUGAAAAGCCCGCUCGCCGGAAGACCAAGGGUUCCUGUCCAACGUUAAUCGGGGCAGGGUGAGUCGACCCCUAAGGCGAGGCCGAAAGGCGUAGUCGAUGGGAAACGGGUUAAUAUUCCCGUACUUGGUGUUACUGCGAAGGGGGGACGGAGAAGGCUAUGUUGGCCGGGCGACGGUUGUCCCGGUUUAAGCGUGUAGGCUGGUUUUCCAGGCAAAUCCGGAAAAUCAAGGCUGAGGCGUGACGACGAGGCACUACGGUGCUGAAGCAACAAAUGCCCUGCUUCCAGGAAAAGCCUCUAAGCAUCAGGUAACAC
rnacentral:rRNA from 1 species